rnacentral:rRNA from 1 species
GGUCAGUAGGCUGGUCGUGCCACCGGUACGUACUGGUCUCACUGAUUCCUCCUUCCUGAAGAACCGUGAUGCCAUUAAUUUGGUGUUGUGGGGAAACAGGACUGUUACUUUGAAAAAAUUAGAGUGUUUAAAGCAAGCUAACGCUUGAAUACAUUAGCAUGGAAUAAUGAAAUAGGACGAUCGAUCCUAUUUUGCUGGUUUCUAGGAUUGACGUA